GUUGUAUGGUUAAGUGACUAAGCGUACACGGUGGAUGCCUUGGCAGUCAGAGGCGAUGAAAGACGUAGUAACUUGCGAUAAGCCCAGAUUAGGUAGUAACAACCAUUUGAGUCUGGGAUUUCUGAAUGGGGAAACCCACUUACAUAAGUAAGUAUCAUUAACUGAAUACAUAGGUUAAUGAGGCGAACCGGGGGAACUGAAACAUCUAAGUACCCCGAGGAAAAGAAAUCAACCGAGAUUCCGAAAGUAGCGGCGAGCGAAAUUGGACUAGCCCUUAAGCUUUACACGCGUUAGACGAACGGUCUGGAAAGUCCGACGAUACAGGGUGAUAGUCCCGUAGUUGACGACGUGUGUUCAGUGAAAUCGAGUAGGGCGGGACACGUGAUAUCCUGUCUGAAUAUGGGGGGACCAUCCUCCAAGGCUAAAUACUACUGACUGACCGAUAGUGAACCAGUACCGUGAGGGAAAGGCGAAAAGAACCCCUGUGAGGGGAGUGAAAUAGAACCUGAAACCGUGUACGUACAAGCAGUAGGAGCAGGCUUUGUCCUGUGACUGCGUACCUUUUGUAUAAUGGGUCAGCGACUUAUAUUCAGUGGCAAGGUUAACCAUCUAGGGGAGCCGUAGGGAAACCGAGUCUUAACUGGGCGUUCAGUCUCUGGAUAUAGACCCGAAACCAGGUGAUCUAGCCAUGGGCAGGUUGAAGGUUGAGUAACAUCAACUGGAGGACCGAACCGACUAAUGUUGAAAAAUUAGCGGAUGACUUGUGGCUAGGGGUGAAAGGCCAAUCAAACCUGGAGAUAGCUGGUUCUCCCCGAAAGCUAUUUAGGUAGCGCCUCGGACGAAUACUACUGGGGGUAGAGCACUGUUAAGGCUAGGGGGUCAUCCCGACUUACCAACCCUUUGCAAACUCCGAAUACCAGUAAGUACUAUCCGGGAGACACACGGCGGGUGCUAACGUCCGUCGUGGAGAGGGAAACAACCCAGACCGCCAGCUAAGGUCCCAAAUUACUACUAAGUGGGAAACGAUGUGGGAAGGCUCAGACAGCCAGGAUGUUGGCUUAGAAGCAGCCAUCAUUUAAAGAAAGCGUAAUAGCUCACUGGUCGAGUCGGCCUGCGCGGAAGAUGUAACGGGGCUAAGUAGUAAACCGAAGCUGCGGCAAUACUCUUUGAGUAUUGGGUAGGGGAGCGUUCUGUAAGCGGUUGAAGGUGUGUGGUAACGCAUGCUGGACGUAUCAGAAGUGCGAAUGCUGACAUGAGUAACGAUAAAGGGGGUGAAAAACCUCCUCGCCGGAAGACCAAGGGUUCCUGUCCAACGUUAAUCGGGGCAGGGUAAGUCGACCCCUAAGGCGAGGCCGAAAGGCGUAGUCGAUGGGAAACGGGUUAAUAUUCCCGUACUUCUUACAAUUGCGAUGGGGGGACGGAGAAGGCUAGGUGGGCCUGGCGACGGUUGUCCAGGUUCAAGUGCGUAGGCUUAAGAGUUAGGUAAAUCCGGCUCUUUUUAAGGCUGAGACACGACGUCGAGCACCUACGGGUGUGAAGUCAUUGAUGCCAUGCUUCCAGGAAAAGCCUCUAAGCUUCAGAUUGUAAGGAAUCGUACCCCAAACCGACACAGGUGGUCGGGUAGAGAAUACCAAGGCGCUUGAGAGAACUCGGGUGAAGGAACUAGGCAAAAUGGUACCGUAACUUCGGGAGAAGGUACGCUCUUGAUGGUGAAGUCCCUUGCGGAUGGAGCUGACGAGAGUCGCAGAUACCAGGUGGCUGCAACUGUUUAUUAAAAACACAGCACUGUGCAAAAUCGUAAGAUGACGUAUACGGUGUGACGCCUGCCCGGUGCCGGAAGGUUAAUUGAUGGGGUUAGACUUCGGUCGAAGCUCUUGAUCGAAGCCCCGGUAAACGGCGGCCGUAACUAUAACGGUCCUAAGGUAGCGAAAUUCCUUGUCGGGUAAGUUCCGACCUGCACGAAUGGCGUAAUGAUGGCCACGCUGUCUCCACCCGAGACUCAGUGAAAUUGAAAUCGCUGUGAAGAUGCAGUGUACCCGCGGCUAGACGGAAAGACCCCGUGAACCUUUACUACAGCUUGGCACUGAACAUUGACCCUACAUGUGUAGGAUAGGUGGGAGGCUUUGAAGCACGUACGCCAGUAUGUGUGGAGCCGUCCUUGAAAUACCACCCUUGUAGUGUUGAUGUUCUAACGUCGACCCCUAAUCGGGGUUGCGGACAGUGCCUGGUGGGUAGUUUGACUGGGGCGGUCUCCUCCCAAAGAGUAACGGAGGAGCACGAAGGUGGGCUAAUCACGGUUGGACAUCGUGAGGUUAGUGCAAUGGCAUAAGCCCGCUUGACUGCGAGAAUGACAAUUCGAGCAGGUGCGAAAGCAGGUCAUAGUGAUCCGGUGGUUCUGAAUGGAAGGGCCAUCGCUCAACGGAUAAAAGGUACUCCGGGGAUAACAGGCUGAUACCGCCCAAGAGUUCAUAUCGACGGCGGUGUUUGGCACCUCGAUGUCGGCUCAUCACAUCCUGGGGCUGAAGUCGGUCCCAAGGGUAUGGCUGUUCGCCAUUUAAAGUGGUACGCGAGCUGGGUUUAGAACGUCGUGAGACAGUUCGGUCCCUAUCUGCCGUGGGCGUUGGAAGAUUGAAGGGGGCUGCUCCUAGUACGAGAGGACCGGAGUGGACGAACCUCUGGUGUUCGGGUUGUGUCGCCAGACGCAUUGCCCGGUAGCUAAGUUCGGAAUCGAUAACCGCUGAAAGCAUCUAAGCGGGAAGCGAGCCCUGAGAUGAGUCUUCCCUGAUACUUUAAGUAUCCUAAAGGGUUGUCGGAGACUACGACGUUGAUAGGUCAGGUGUGUAAGUGCUGUGAGGCAUUGAGCUAACUGAUACUAAUUGCCCGUGAGGCUUAACCAUACAACACCCAAGGGGUUU
rnacentral:rRNA from 1 species